rnacentral:lncRNA from 1 species
GUCGAUCUAUGAACCAAGCGGUGCAUACGAUGGUGGAGGGAAAACAAUAGUCUUCGCUGAGGAUCUGGAUUGGAGGAGGGGCCUUUAAAAGUGGAAGUAGCGGUUGAAAAAGAUAAAAGGUCUCUAAGAUGACGAUGAAAUGGGUCGUAGGAAAUGUGUAUUAAGGGCUCUGAUGAUUCGUUUCUACUAGAAUCCAUCAUGUAUAUUUAGGGCAAAUGAUCUAUGGGGAAAGAUGAUGGCAGUAGUGAAGCUGUUGAAAGAUGCCACAGAAAUAGGGUUGUUGUUUUUUCUUUCAAAAUGUCUUUUGGGUUUUUUAUUGUGAUAUUUUUCUGGUAGUUUUCUUGAGGGUUCUUGAGUGGACGAGGGUUCUUG